rnacentral:rRNA from 1 species
GAUGAACGCUAGCGGCAGGCCUAACACAUGCAAGUCGAGGGGUAGAAGUUUUCGGACUUUGAGACCGGCGCACGGGUGCGUAACGCGUAUGCAAUCUGCCUUGUACUGAGGGAUAGCCCAGAGAAAUUUGGAUUAACACCUCAUAGUAUUUUAGUGUGGCAUCACAUUAUUAUUAAAGGUUACGGUACAAGAUGAGCAUGCGUCCCAUUAGCUAGUUGGUAUGGUAACGGCAUACCAAGGCUACGAUGGGUAGGGGUCCUGAGAGGGAGAUCCCCCACACUGGUACUGAGACACGGACCAGACUCCUACGGGAGGCAGCAGUGAGGAAUAUUGGUCAAUGGGCGCAAGCCUGAACCAGCCAUGCCGCGUGCAGGAUGAAGCAUCUAUGGUGUGUAAACUGCUUUUGUACGGGAAGAAACACUCCCUCGUGAGGGAGCUUGACGGUACCGUAAGAAUAAGGAUCGGCUAACUCCGUGCCAGCAGCCGCGGUAAUAC